UACGUAGGGGGCAAGCGUUGUCCGGAAUUAUUGGGCGUAAAGAGCUCGUAGGCGGCCUGUUGCGUCCGCUGUGAAAGCCCGGGGCUUAACCCCGGGUCGGCAGUGGAUACGGGCAGGCUAGAGGUAGGUAGGGGAGAAUGGAAUUCCCGGUGUAGCGGUGAAAUGCGCAGAUAUCGGGAGGAACACCGGUGGCGAAGGCGGUUCUCUGGGCCUUACCUGACGCUGAGGAGCGAAGGCCAGGGGAGCAAACGGG
rnacentral:rRNA from 1 species